rnacentral:rRNA from 1 species
AUGACAAGAAGAUAUUGGAACAUUAAUUUGAAAGAGAUGAUAGAAGCAGGAGUUCAUUUUGGUCAUGGUAUUAAGAAAUGGAAUCCUAAAAUGGCCCCUUACAUUUCGGCAAAGCGUAAAGGUACUCAUAUUAUAAAUCUCGCUAGAACGGCUCGUUUUUUACCAGAAGCUUGUGAUUUAGUUUUUGAUGCAGCAAGUCAGGGAAAAAGUUUCUUAAUUGUUGGUACCAAAAAAAGAGCAACAGAUUUAGUAGCAUCAGCUGCAAUAAGGGCUCGUUGUCAUUAUGUUAAUAAAAAGUGGUUCAGUGGUAUGUUAACGAAUUGGUCGAUUACGAAAACUAGACUUUCUCAAUUUAGAGACUUAAGAGCAGAAGAAAAAAUGGGAAAAUUCCACCAUCUCCCAAAAAGAGAUGUGGCAAUCUUGAAGAGAAAAUUAUCUACCUUGCAAAGGUAUCUCGGCGGGAUCAAAUAUAUGACGAGAUUG